UAACAUUCGACAAGAGGUUUACUUAAGAAUCAAAAUUUGACGGUAGAGGAGAGCAGCAACAAGAGGCCAGAUUGCAUUCGGCUUAUGGCAUCUGGCAUGAGGUAAACAUUCCACAGGCCGUCGAGGCCGUGAAUUGAAAGAGAGCGUUGCGAGGGUGAGGCCGUGAGGUGCAGUCGAUGCAGAGAGCGCUAGGUGCAGACAAGAGGAGUAGAGGACCAAGGCCUGUGAGGUUUUGGUGAACUUAUCGCCCAUGUCGUCGUCGUCUUCUUCCAACCAACAAGUGCCGAGCUACCAAACCCAUCUCUUCCACUCCAGUGCCUAGUAGCUAGCCGUAACUGCUGGCUAUCCCCUUGCAUCUGCUAUCGCUGUACUGCGAGCUAGUGUAUCUGAAUAUCUGAUCUUGCACCCAUGUCGAGCCUUCCUUUAAUGAGGCAGCUAGAAAAGGGUGUUUUGGUCACAUGUUCAUAUCUUGGUGAACUCUGCUGGAGUGUUGUAUCCGGAGCAUCUCUUCAUGGGUUUUGACUACAUUCAGAUGACCUGGCAUAAAACUGGGUGCACUCUCUACGAAUUCUUUUGCAUCUGUUCCGUCUAAUUCUACAGGAACUGAAACUAGGCUUAUUGGGCUUUCCUCUUUAAAUUUCUCAGGCAUCGCAGACAUGACUUUCACAUGAGUGGAUUCUGUAUUAACGAAUGUGACCUUAACCCCAUGGUCGGCUAAGUUGUAUGCCAACUUCAUUAGAGGAGCAACAUGGCCUUGUGCUGGGUAUGGUACAACAACCACAUGUGGUUUCCUGCCCAUGAUAGAGAAAUGAACAGAGGCUUGCAUGAUUUGAUCACAGAAUGUGUAUAUAUAUCAUUUUCUCCAGUUCGAUUAUUUUAUUUUCAAGUGCUUAAACAAUAGGCGUCAAUGAUAUCAUUGACUACGACUAAUUACUAUUAGUAUGUUAUUAACCGUCUGUACUUUUGUUGUUGGUAAAGUCAUUGCCUCUGUACUUAAAUCUAGAUGGGGAACUCAAUUGGCA